GGGUCAGCGGCUCCUGUGGCAUCCGGCCAAGGACAAUGUGCUGAAAAGUUUCCCCUGAAAAAAUCAGAAACAAAACUCACCUCAGGAGAGGCCCCUGCUCCCUCGAAGAGGAAGUGGGAGUCACGUGAGGCUCGUCUUGAUUGGGGUUCCUGGAGAGGAGGCCCCCUCUCCCUAGGUGGGGGCUCCUGUUUCCCCUGCUCUGCUCUCUGAGGUCCCCAGGGUCCAGUCCCCUCCCCACCCUAUCCUGAAGCUUGUCAAGGCCACCAGAGACCUGCUCCCUGUGCCGUCUCAGACUGGACUCUGGGGUCUCCUGUGCCUCCUCCGAUUCUGCACCUCAGUGCAGCCUCUGGCCUGGCUGCACUCUGAGGAGCUCCCUGUGGCCACCGAGCCCUUGGAACGUGGCCAGUUCCAUUCUCAAACUGCUGUGAGUGCAAAGCUCAUGCUGGAUUUUGAAGAUUUGGUGAGAAAAAAAAUUUCUUUGUAAAAUGUCAGUAUUUCAUCAAUAGUAUAUUUUAUUGAUGAUACGUUGAGAUAAUAUUUUGGAUAUAUUUGUUUUAGUAGAUUGCUGCACCUGGCCUGUCUUCUUCCUUCCUAAGUAAGUGAAGGAAAUAAUGUAUACAGUGGUCCAUUUCCAAGACAAAGUGCCUUAAAUCAGCAUGGGUCAGCAAACUACAGAAGAAACAGGAUAUACUAGGCCCCUGCUUGGAUAGCUGAUGCCUUCUUGUCAGCCUCCUCCCUCCCCUUCUCCCUCCACUUAGUUGCCCUUGCCCAAACCAAGGAAGUUUAGUCUAAGAUGAAAGUUUACUGGCCUGCAAAA
rnacentral:lncRNA from 1 species